rnacentral:rRNA from 1 species
CAGCCGCCGCGGUAAUACGGAGGGUGCGAGCGUUAAUCGGAAUUACUGGGCGUAAAGCGUACGCAGGCGGUUUGUUAAGUCAGAUGUGAAAUCCCCGGGCUUAACCCGGGAACUGCAUUUGAAACUGGCAGGCUAGAGUCUCGUAGAGGGGGGUAGAAUUCCAGGUGUAGCGGUGAAAUGCGUAGAGAUCUGGAGGAAUACCGGUGGCGAAGGCGGCCCCCUGGACGAAGACUGACGCUCAGGUACGAAAGCGUGGGGAGCAAACAGGAUUAGAUACCCGCGUAGUCCCUGUCUCUUAUAA